AUUUCACACUUUGGAUAGCGAUUCAAGCGAAGGAAGCACGUGUUAUCAUUGCAAAUUUUGUCAAAGGCUGACUGAGGGUGACCUAGAUUCUCGGCUAGAACUCCAGCAAGUAAUCGAGCUAGUUUCGCCAUUGCUGCUGCAAAAUUUUCCAUUACGUUCCUGCACAUUAAAAGGUGGGUCUGAAGUGAAUCGCUUAUGAAACAUGGUUUAUGAAAAAAAAGUUGAUGAAGCUUGAAAGGAAAGAGCAAGAGUUGCAAGAUAAUGCAGGAUGAGAAUAACAAGUCAAGUUUUGUGGAGUAGAAAUAGGUGAUGCUGGUAAGAUGGUGUUCACUGAUUGAGAGAAGGAUAUGGGUUUAUAUAUUUGCAAGUUGGAUGUGAAGAAUAGUGGUAGAGACUAGUGAGACUUGGAGAACAAUUGAAAGAAAGAACAUGAAAAAUGCAAAGAGAAGAUUCCAAAAGAAGAGGGCACUAAAACGUGACAUAUGUCAGAAGAAGAGAGUGUCUUUUGAAGAGCUCACUGGUUGAAAACUGUCAACUAUAAUUUAGAGAAGCCAGAAAGAGAGCAAAGCAUGUGUUUGGACUUCGGAGAAAACUUGAUAAAAAGGUGUGAAUUCAAACCUCUUUCUUUUGACUCUAUUGAAUGAGAAAAACUGGUGUCUGUUGCUGGUUCUAAUAUUAAAUUCUUAGUUGCUUUUUUUGAUAAAAUAACUCUAAAUUCUAGUUUUAAAAUGGUUCGCGAACCUCAUACUUGUAUGGUUUGAAUUGUUUCACGGUUGAAAUUCAAACAUAUAGAUGAUAAAAUCAUGAUAU